rnacentral:lncRNA from 1 species
CGACAGUGCUAGCUCACGCGAAGACCUUCUUCUUGGCUGAUCUGGAUCUUUCCUUCAAAUCUCUGAAAUUUUUUUAGAGAUUGAAAAUGGACUUCUGAAAGAGAUGAAGAGGUAGAAGAAAGAUGAAGAAGAAAAUAAUUUUUUUCUAAUUUAUUCUCUCUUCCCAAACCUUUUGAACUAAAAAUCUGAAAUUUAAAUUUUUUUGCACACCCCA